CCAAUAGCGUAUAUUAAAGUUGUUGCAGUUAAAAAGCUCGUAGUUGAAUUUCGGGGUCGGUAGGUUGGUCAUGCCUCAGGUAUGCACUGGUCUCACUGAUUCCUCCUUCCUGAUGAGCCGUAAUGCCAUUAAUUUGGUGUUGCGAGGAAUCUGGACUGUUACUUUGAAAAAAUUAGAGUGUUUAAAGCAAGCUAACGCUUGAAUACAUUAGCAUGGAAUAAUGGAAUAGGACGUUCGAUCCUAUUUUGUUGGUUUCUAGGAUUGACGUAAUGAUUAAUAGGGAUAGUUGGGGGCAUUAGUAUUCAAUUGUCAGAGGUGAAAUUCUUGGAUUUAUUGAAGACUAACUACUGCGAAAGCAUUUGCCAAGGAUGUUUUCAUUAAUCAAGAACGAAAGUUAGGGGAUCGAAGACGAUCAGAUACCGUCGUAGUCUUAACCAUAAACUAUGCCGACUAGGGAUCGGAUGAUGUUAAUUUUUUAAUGACUCAUUCGGCGCCUUACG
rnacentral:rRNA from 1 species